rnacentral:rRNA from 1 species
AGUCGAGGGGUAACGGGGAAGCUUGCUUCCGCCGACGACCGGCGCACGGGUGCGUAACGCGUAUACAAUCUACCUUAUACUGGGGUAUAGCCUUUAGAAAUGAAGAUUAAUCCCCCAUAGUCUCUUAAAGUGGCAUCACUUAAGGAGUAAAGGUUACGGUAUAAGAUGAGUAUGCGUUCUAUUAGUUUGUUGGUGUGGUAACGGCACACCAAGACUACGAUAGAUAGGGGCCCUGAGAGGGGGAUCCCCCACACUGGUACUGAGGCACGGACCAGACUCCUACGGGAGGCAGCAGUGAGGAAUAUUGGACAAUGGAGGCAACUCUGAUCCAGCCAUGCCGCGUGCAGGAUGACUGCCCUAUGGGUUGUAAACUGCUUUUAUACAGGAAGAAACUUACACACGUGUGUGUAACUGACGGUACUGUAAGAAUAAGGAUCGGCUAACUCCGUGCCAGCAGCCGCGGUAAU